rnacentral:tRNA from 1 species
UCCCUGCUGGUCCAAAGGCUAAGACUCUGUGCUCUCAAUGCAGGGGGUCUGGGUUCAAUCCCUAGUCAGGGAA